GGUCAAGCAAUGAAGCGCACACGGUGGAUGCCUAGGCAGUCAGAGGCGAUGAAAGACGUGGUAGCCUGCGAUAAGGUUCGGUGAGGUGGCAAACAACCUGUGACCCGGACAUCUCUGAAUGGGGAAACCCACUCAUCGACAGAUGAGUAUCUUACGCUGAAUAUAUAGGCGUAAGAGGCGAACCAGGGGAACUGAAACAUCUAAGUACCCUGAGGAAAAGAAAUCAACCGAGAUUCCCCUAAUAGCGGCGAGCGAACGGGGACCAGCCCUUAAGCGUGUGACGGAUUAGGCGAACAGACUGGGAAGUCUGGCCAUAGCGGGUGAUAGCCCCGUAGUCGAAAAUCUGAUCACGUGAAAUCGAGUAGGUCGGGGCACGAGAAACCUUGACUGAAGACGGGGGGACCAUCCUCCAAGGCUAAAUACU
rnacentral:rRNA from 1 species